rnacentral:tRNA from 1 species
GGUCCUGUAGCUCAGUUGGGAGAGUAUCACCUUGACAUGGUGGGGUCGCUGGUUCGAGACCAGUCGGGACCA